CUGUGUGGAUAGUGUUCAGAACAAAGGACAGGUGUGUUUACCUGUGUGUGGAUGGUGUUUAGCACCAAUGACAGGUAUGUUUUCCU
rnacentral:pre_miRNA from 1 species